UGGCGAACGGGUGAGUAACAUAUCGGAACGUGCCCAGUAAUGGGGGAUAGCCCGGCGAAAGCCGGAUUAAUACCGCAUACGACCUACGGGUGAAAGCGGGGGACCUGCAAGGGCCUCGCGUUAUUGGAGCGGCCGAUACCAGAUUAGCUAGUUGGUGGGGUAAAAGCCUACCAAGGCGACGAUCUGUAGCUGGUCUGAGAGGACGACCAGCCACACUGGGACUGAGACACGGCCCAG
rnacentral:rRNA from 1 species